GCCAGGGAAGAUGAGAGGAUAGAUUUCAUUCAUUGUGUAGUAUGUCAGGCUGAUUCUAGAGCUGGUCUUAUCAUGAGGGGUUCACUUUCCUUGACCCUAAUCAGGAUAUGGCUGCCAGGGGCCAUCCUUGAUCAGACAGAAUUCUGCAGCCAAGGCCAUGAUUCUGAGCCAGCACUGGUUUCUGGCUGGGACACCCAUUCUUCUGCCUAUGUUGUUUCCUCUCCACAGAGCUCUAAGUGUCGCACAACUCUGCGGUAGAACAAGGUCUUGCCUCCUUGUCCUGGGAAGCUCCUCCAGUCUCCCUGGAAUUCUGGUGCUCCAACUGCUGGAUGAGGUGGGGCUGGAGGUCCAUCCAGCUCUCCAGGCUGAGCUCCUGCAUCUCUUUCCUAUGGGGUGGGCAUUGCAAAGACCUCUUCACGUUUGUCUUUCCUGUGGAUGUUUCCACAAAAUUUACCUCCACUUUCUGCAAGCUGGGCUGCCCUCCAUCUAGAAUCAACACUGUCAGAAAAAAACCCAUCCUCCUUCAGCCUCCCCUGUCCACAGCUGCCUUCUGCAAUGCAUCCCCACAUUUGGCUGGGGGCUCCUCACCUCCUGCUUGACCAGGCCUGGCUGUCCCUCUGUGCCAGACACUAAUCCAGGCCUGCGCUCCUUGAAGGCUGCAGCCAGAUUAAUCGUCACAAGGUUUUGCUUUGAUGAUAUCACUUUAUAGACACAUAAAAAAAAAGUGUUUAGGCAGUCAGUCAUGCUAAAUCUUAACCAUCUUUACAGAUUUUUUAGUGCAGCUCAUCAAAAUUGUCACCAGCCCUGAAGAUCCCACAUUUACGGUUCAUGACAGUUCCUCAGCAGGAGUAGCAGGUACUUGUCUGGGUCUGUCCCCACACAGCCAUGGACAACUCUGCCCUCUGCCCUGGUGCAGGCCUCCUGGGCACUACCUGGAACUUGUGAUCACUUCCUGCUCACUCUGCUCGGGGGCAUCUGCAGUCACUCCCUGUAGCCAGCCCUCAUCUGCAGCAGCAGAGAACUCCAGCAGUCAGUGCCGUGGGCUCAGGUAGCUGGGUGGGAGGAGGCUGGGGUCCCUGGGGGCUGGGUUGGCAGCGAUGGACAGCCUUCUGCUGCAGCUCCCAACCGACAGCAUAGGGCAGUUAUGCCAACUCAGGAACUGUCCCUGACUUUUGAUGGUUUAUCUCAUGCUUCUUCAACUUUAUGAUGGUACGGAAGCCAUGCAUUUGGUAGAAGUAUAGUUGGAAUUUUGAACUUGCUUCUUUUCCCAUGCCAGAAGCAUGUAGUUCUACUGACAUUCUUUUACCAGGCUGGGGGCAGCGGGGAGUCACAGUGCCCAGUCAGCCCCUUGACCAAAGAAGAAACGGUGGGCACACAGUGUGCCGUGUGGCCAGCCGAGGGUGGCAGGAGGCUGGGUGACCUGAUGAUAUUUUGACAUAAAGGAUUUCUCAGCACAUAACCACAUAAUAAGUGAGGAGCCAGGGCCCACAACUUUGAGUUAUGAAAGUUGGGUUAUGGAUGUUUGUUUAUUGUUAAAGGGCUUAAUGUUGCUGCUGUGUCUAGUAAUAAUAAAAAGACUAGAUUCUAAAGAAAUAAAGACACUGGGAAAUAAAAGAGUGUCAUGGGCUCUGGAACCAGAUUCUUUGAGUUUAAAUCCUAGCUCCAACACUGGCUGGAUGAUCUUGACCCAGUCAAUUAACCUCUUUAGGCCUCAGUUUUCUCACAUGUAAAAUGGAUAAAAUUGGAAUCAAGUAUUACAGAUUUUUGGUUUGAAUAAGUGACAUAGAGCCUGGAAAGUGCUCAGAGGGCACUUGGCACUCAGUGAGUGUGCAACUGUGACCCGGCCUCCUGAUCUGACGGCUCAGGGUACUAUGGUGUGGCAUGGGCAUCCUGGUGGUGGAGUGGGCCAUCUGGAUUGGGGUGCUGACCACUGGCCCUGUGUGUCUUGUUCUGAACUGGCCUCCUACAUUCUGCUUGCAUUAGUCUGCCAUCCCAUCUGCUGGUUGUCUUCCUGGGAUGUCACAUCUAGGCCUUACCUGGGCAUAUGUCAUACCUCUCCUUGACCCACAGCAACACCUGUGCAGUCCCAAUCCCACAGCAAGCCUGACCUCACUUCCAUGGGCCUCAGGAAGAUUCUGCAACUGAGAACAUGGUCGCGUCAUGGCCUUGGAUCCCCAAGGACUUAACCUUUUAAUGGUUUACUUGGUACUUUGUG
rnacentral:lncRNA from 1 species